AGCUCCAAUAGCGUAUGUAAAAGUUGUUGCAGUUAAAAAGCUCGUAGUCGGAUGUCGGGGCGUGGCGAGCCCGGUCUGCCGGAUUCGGUGUGUACUGGCUCGCCUGCUCUUCCUUCCGGUUUGCCGGCGGCUUCCCUUAACUGGGCGGCCGUCUUCGGCUCCGGAUCGUUUACUUUGAAAAAAUUAGAGUGUUUAAAGCAGACUUUACGUCGUCUUGAAUACAUUAGCAUGGGAUAAUGGAAUAGGCUCUUGCGCCUAUUUUGUUGGUUUCUGGGAGCGAGAGAAUGAUCAAUGGGAAUCGUCGGGGGUAUUCAUAUUUAAUUGUCAGAGGUGAAAUUCUUGGAUUUAUGAAAGAUGAACAUCUGCGAAAGCAUCUAUCAAGGAGAUUUCCA
rnacentral:rRNA from 1 species